rnacentral:rRNA from 1 species
CUCCCCCUACGGGAGGCAGCAGUGGGGGAUAUUGCACAAUGGGGGAAACCCUGAUGCAGCAACGCCGCGUGAGUGAAGAAGUAUUUCGGUAUGUAAAGCUCUAUCAGCAGGGAAGAGAAUGACGGUACCUGACUAAGAAGCCCCGGCUAACUACGUGCCAGCAGCCGCGGUAAUACGUAGGGGGCAAGCGUUAUCCGGAAUUACUGGGUGUAAAGGGAGAGUAGGCGGCAAGGUAAGCGAUAUGUGAAAGCCUUAGGCUUAACUUAAGGAUUGCAUAACGAACUAUCUAGCUAGAGUACAGGAGA